UCCAUCUCUCGUACAAGGAAUUUUGUUCACUCUUUGAUGUUCUUAUAAUUACACAGGGAUAUGGUUGUACACAGAACUUAUAAAUUUCUUAGUAGUGAUAUGGUUAGGAUUACAUUGUGAAUUGCUAUAAGAAAUUGUAUAACAACUAAUAUGAUGUGCUUCCUACGAAAAGACAAAGGCUUUAGAUGGCUCCCCUGCUGACCUGAAAUUGGUGAGGACCUAAAUUCAAAACGCUGAUGAUAAUGGAAAAGGUUAAUAGGAAACGAACUGCUGGAGAAAUGGAAGGAACCCCACAUAUGAUGGUCGUCAGUGUUGGGGGAAAGGUCUUGUCGCGGGGCAUGCAAGUGUUUUCAGUGCCAGCUUCCCAGUGUCAGCAAUUACCUGUUAUUACUGCAGUGCCCGACAUCGAUUCUUCU